GAUAAACGCUGGCGGCAUGCCUAAUACAUGCAAGUCGAACGAAGAUCUAGCUUGCUAGAUCUUAGUGGCGAACGGGUGAGUAAUACAUAAAUAAUCUGCCCAUAUGACUGGGAUAACUAUUGGAAACGAUAGCUAAUACCGGAUAGGUUGAUUGGAGGCAUCUCUGAUUAAUUAAAGUAGGAUUUCUACACAAAUGGAUGAGUUUAUGGCGCAUUAGUUAGUUGGUGGGGUAACGGCCUACCAAGACGAUGAUGCGUAGCCGACCUGAGAGGGUGACCGGCCACACUGGGACUGAGACACGGCCCAGACUCCUACGGGAGGCAGCAGUAGGGAAUUUUCGGCAAUGGGCGCAAGCCUGACCGAGCAACGCCGCGUGAGUGAUUAAGGCCUUCGGGUUGUAAAGCUCUGUUGUAAGGGAAGAACAUUCAGGAUAGGAAAUGAUCUUGAACUGACGGUACCUUACCAGAAAGCCACGGCUAACUACGUGCCAGCCGCCGCAGUAAUAC
rnacentral:rRNA from 1 species